AUUGAGCACUGGCCCUAUGCAGACACUAUUCUGGGAGUCAGGGAUUCAAUAGUGAACAAGUUCGAUUUUUAGAUUUGGUCCCUGCCUUGAUGGAGCUUUCAGUCUAAAAGGUGAUGGCAGCUGGGAACAAGACAGGCAGAGACAAGAGAAACAAAAAUAAUACAGCCCCUGCUUUGGGCUGUGCUUCUGUUGCCAUGGUGAUGUUGACACGUGACACACAGCCCAAUUCCUCUUAUUAUUGCCUCUUUGGAAAUAAAAGUUAAUCAUCACCUGUACACUCUGUACAGUAACCCAGGAGGUAAGAUAAAGAAAAAACAAACCCACAGCUGAAGUAUGGACUCUGUUCGUUUCAGCACUAC